rnacentral:rRNA from 1 species
AGGAUAAACGCUGGCGGCGUGCAUUAGACAUGCAAGUCGAACGGACUUUUCAGGGCUUGCUCUGAAAAGUUAGUGGCGGACGGCUGAGUAACGCGUAGGUAACCUACCCCGAAGUGGGGAAUAACUGCCCGAAAGGGUGGCUAAUACCGCAUGUGAUCGUUUGUUCAUUCGAACGAUCAAAGCAGCAAUGCGCUUCGGGAGGGGCCUGCGUCCGAUUAGCUCGUUGGUGGGGUAAUGGCUCACCAAGGCGACGAUCGGUAGGUGGUCUGAGAGGACGAUCACCCAGACUGGGACUGAGACACGGCCCAGACUCCUACGGGAGGCAGCAGUCGGGAAUUUUGCUCAAUGGGCGCAAGCCUGAAGCAGCAACGCCGCGUGAGGGAUGAAGGCCUUCGGGUUGUAAACCUUCUUUUAUCAGGGAAGAUUAUGACGGUACCUGAUGAAUAGCCACGGCUAACUACGUGCCAGCAGCCGC